rnacentral:rRNA from 1 species
UACGUAGGGGGCAAGCGUUGUCCGGAUUUAUUGGGUUUAAAGGGUGCGUAGGUGGCCCUGUAAGUCAGUGGUGAAAUAUCUCAGCUUAACUGAGAGGGUGCCAUUGAUACUGCAGGGCUUGAGUAUAGAUGAGGUAGGCGGAAUUGACGGUGUAGCGGUGAAAUGCAUAGAUAUCGUCAAGAACACCGAUAGCGAAGGCAGCUUACCAAGCUGUAACUGACACUGAGGCACGAAAGUGUGGGGAUCAAACAGG